rnacentral:lncRNA from 1 species
UAAAACAUGCAUAAAAUCAAAAACUGGUAAAUCAAGCCUCAACCCUUUCCUCCUCCAAGAUAAGGGCCUUCCCUGUUGGUUUUGCCAACAGAUCUGUGUACUCUUGGAAUGGGGAUUUGGUAAAGCGAGUCUCCUUCCAGAAUUCUGGUGUCAGGAAUCCAUAGGUUUUCAUCAGGCAGUCAAAUGUGGCCUGUAAAACAAAAAUACAGGUAUCAAUCAUUUUGAGUACUAAGAAAACAUCAGAACAAUUAAUGCAUGAAAAUUGCAACUCUAGAAUGGAAUCCAUGAUGCAUUUCAAUGCCCUCAAUUGCAGCAAAAAUAUCAUCUAUCACUUCCAUACAACAAAUCAAUAGACCCUCUAUAAUAAAAGAUCUUUCACACUUUCACAUCAGUUUCUAAACGUUACUAACAUUCAUAAACAUAGGUAAAUUGAUGGAUAUUCAAUACUUUGGAAAUUUGUUAAGUAAUGUUUAUUGCUUUAAAACUACCAAUUGUAGACAACAUUGGUAAUGAGUCCAAAUACAUUCAUACACAAUGAAACCACUCCUCUUGCAAACGAAAAAGGUAGAUUUACUGACCAACUACAUUCAAAAAACAUCUUGCGAUUUAGGUGAUAAUAGAUGAUAAUGAACAUGGGACAUUUAUAUCGAAACAUUCUUAUAAAAAAAUCAAACAUAGAUAACAAACAUCCAACCAAAAACCAUAACAAUCAGUGUUCCUGAAAAUACCCUUAAUCCAAAAGGCAAACAAGCGAAUCAAAACAAACAAAUCAUCAACAAUCCAUAAGAAGAAUCGGACAAAAUAAAUCACAAAUUUUCAUAGUUUCCACAAUUGCAUCAUAAACCACCGCACAUGAAGCAGUCACUCAAUUAGUACCUACAUAUUUCCAAUUCAAAACCCUAAAAGAGACUAAUUUGCAAGAGAAAGCAACACAAACCUUAACGAAAUUGCCAAGAGUCUUGGUGGAUCCUCUGGAGGAGGUGAAAACAUCGUCGAUUCCAGCGAACUGCAGCACCUUCUUGGGAACCCUAGCCGCCACAAUUCCCGAACCCCGAGGUGCGGGCACCAUCCUCACGGUAACAGAACCGCACUUGCCAGUAACCUUGCACGGAACGGUGUGGGGCUUCCCGAUCUUGUUACCCCAGUACCCUCUCCUAACGGGGAUAACGGAAAGCUUCGCCAGAAUGAUGGCGCCACGAAUAGCGGUGGCCACCUCCUUGCUACACUUAACGCCGAGACCCACGUGGCCGUUACUGUCGCCAACCACAACGAAGGCCUUGAACCGGGUUCGCUGACCAGCCCGGGUCUGUUUCUGGACCGGCGUGAUUUUCAUGACCUCGUCCUUGAGGGUGGGACCCACGAGGGUGUCGAUGAUUUGGUGCUCCUUGAUGGGAAGGGAGUGGAGGUAGAUCUGUUCCAAGC